rnacentral:rRNA from 1 species
AAAGCAUCUAAGUGCGAAACUGGCCUGAAGAUGAGUGUUCCUUAGUAGGGGUGUUGUAGACGACGACGUUGAUAGGCGGCAGGUGUAGGCGUAGAGAUGCGUUAAGCUGAGCCGUACUAAUGGCCCCAACAGCGUGUGCAU